rnacentral:rRNA from 1 species
GGUUAAGCGACUAAGCGUACACGGUGGAUGCCCUGGCAGUCAGAGGCGAUGAAGGACGUGCUAAUCUGCGAUAAGCGUCGGUAAGGUGAUAUGAACCGUUAUAACCGGCGAUUUCCGAAUGGGGAAACCCAGUGUGUUUCGACACACUAUCAUUAACUGAAUCCAUAGGUUAAUGAGGCGAACCGGGGGAACUGAAACAUCUAAGUACCCCGAGGAAAAGAAAUCAACCGAGAUUCCCCCAGUAGCGGCGAGCGAACGGGGAGCAGCCCAGAGCCUGAAUCAGUGUGUGUGUUAGUGGAAGCGUCUGGAAAGGCGCGCGAUACAGGGUGACAGCCCCGUACACAAAAAUGCACAUGCUGUGAGCUCGAUGAGUAGGGCGGGACACGUGGUAUCCUGUCUGAAUAUGGGGGGACCAUCCUCCAAGGCUAAAUACUCCUGACUGACCGAUAGUGAACCAGUACCGUGAGGGAAAGGCGAAAAGAACCCCGGCGAGGGGAGUGAAAAAGAACCUGAAACCGUGUACGUACAAGCAGUGGGAGCACGCUUAGGCGUGUGACUGCGUACCUUUUGUAUAAUGGGUCAGCGACUUAUAUUCUGUAGCAAGGUUAACCGAAUAGGGGAGCCGAAGGGAAACCGAGUCUUAACUGGGCGUUAAGUUGCAGGGUAUAGACCCGAAACCCGGUGAUCUAGCCAUGGGCAGGUUGAAGGUUGGGUAACACUAACUGGAGGACCGAACCGACUAAUGUUGAAAAAUUAGCGGAUGACUUGUGGCUGGGGGUGAAAGGCCAAUCAAACCGGGAGAUAGCUGGUUCUCCCCGAAAGCUAUUUAGGUAGCGCCUCGUGAACUCAUCUCCGGGGGUAGAGCACUGUUUCGGCAAGGGGGUCAUCCCGACUUACCAACCCGAUGCAAACUGCGAAUACCGGAGAAUGUUAUCACGGGAGACACACGGCGGGUGCUAACGUCCGUCGUGAAGAGGGAAACAACCCAGACCGCCAGCUAAGGUCCCAAAGUCAUGGUUAAGUGGGAAACGAUGUGGGAAGGCCCAGACAGCCAGGAUGUUGGCUUAGAAGCAGCCAUCAUUUAAAGAAAGCGUAAUAGCUCACUGGUCGAGUCGGCCUGCGCGGAAGAUGUAACGGGGCUAAACCAUGCACCGAAGCUGCGGCAGCGACACUAUGUGUUGUUGGGUAGGGGAGCGUUCUGUAAGCCUGUGAAGGUGUACUGUGAGGUAUGCUGGAGGUAUCAGAAGUGCGAAUGCUGACAUAAGUAACGAUAAAGCGGGUGAAAAGCCCGCUCGCCGGAAGACCAAGGGUUCCUGUCCAACGUUAAUCGGGGCAGGGUGAGUCGACCCCUAAGGCGAGGCCGAAAGGCGUAGUCGAUGGGAAACAGGUUAAUAUUCCUGUACUUGGUGUUACUGCGAAGGGGGGACGGAGAAGGCUAUGUUGGCCGGGCGACGGUUGUCCCGGUUUAAGCGUGUAGGCUGGUUUUCCAGGCAAAUCCGGAAAAUCAAGGCUGAGGCGUGAUGACGAGGCACUACGGUGCUGAAGCAACAAAUGCCCUGCUUCCAGGAAAAGCCUCUAAGCAUCAGGUAACAUCAAAUCGUACCCCAAACCGACACAGGUGGUCAGGUAGAGAAUACCAAGGCGCUUGAGAGAACUCGGGUGAAGGAACUAGGCAAAAUGGUGCCGUAACUUCGGGAGAAGGCACGCUGAUAUGUAGGUGAAGUCCCUCGCGGAUGGAGCUGAAAUCAGUCGAAGAUACCAGCUGGCUGCAACUGUUUAUUAAAAACACAGCACUGUGCAAACACGAAAGUGGACGUAUACGGUGUGACGCCUGCCCGGUGCCGGAAGGUUAAUUGAUGGGGUUAGCCGCAAGGCGAAGCUCUUGAUCGAAGCCCCGGUAAACGG